ACUGUUAAAAGUAUAUAGUUUCUAUAUAAAUUAUAUAAAUUUCAUUUCGAAGAGAUGUCUGGAAGAAACUCUGCUGACAACGCAAAAAAGAGACUACAUACUAAAAAAUAGAAUGAUUAUAACAUACGCAUGUAUUUUAAUUUGGUUAUCUUCAUAGCAGUAAAAUGACUUGUGGUGCAUUAAAGAAUAAAAUAACGGUUAAUUUCAGGGUUCAAUCUUCGAGUGUCGAUAUUGACAAAACUAUAUACAUGUAAAUGGUGAUAUUGCGGUAUCGAUACAGACAUCAUCAGAGACUACUAUAGUGUAAUCAAGUUGGCGGCAGAGAUGAUACAGUUAUGUUUUAUUUCUGUUCGAAAUUCACCAAAAUUAGACUUCUAACGAGCAAACAUGAAACCAGAACAACCUGCCGUGAUUGAUAGAGACAAAGGUAGUGUUAGUUAAAAAUGAAAAGACAAAUUCCAGUCAACCUGAAUCGGUCGCAAUCAGAAUCGGGUUUUCAAAACAGUUGGAUGUUCUGUUUGAAGAUGUAGAUGUAUUUAAUAUUGGAGACGACUAUAACAACAGUACUCGACUUUUCAGAUACGGCAUAAAUUCACGGCGCCGCUAGCAACGAGAAAGAACUGAGUUUGUCGCUUGUUAAUUAAAAAAACAAAAGAUGUCUCCCUGUACAAAAAUACAAAUCGAGAGUUGUCCCUCGUUGUGUUGCUGUUGGAGGCUGAUGAUGCCUUGUUGAAGCCUUCAACUGUGCCAGUCUAUCACGUGAUCAACACCUUUUCUGGUUUCCUGAUGGACGCUUCCAUCUCAAAAGCUUUAAACAUUGCUUAAAUUUUGUUUCAAUUUCUAAUUAUCUAAACGCUUCUAUCGAUGUUAUCCACUGAUUUUAAAUAUGAAAGACUGUGAGUGCAAUUAUUUAAUACCGCUUACGAUUGUCAAAAUAUAUUUUUGUUAGUUCAGAACUUUUAAAUGUGGUUUCUUCUGGACACAGCAAUA